GAGGGUGUAGCUCAGUGGUAAAGCACAUGCUUAACAUGCAUGAGGUCCUGGGUUCAAUCCCCAGUAUCUCCU
rnacentral:tRNA from 1 species